GAGAAGCUUCGACCAGGGUUCGAUUCGAGCGUUAGCGAGAAAGCGUUGCCGCAGGCAACGACCCGAAGGGCGAAGCGCGCAGCGCUGAGUAAUCCUUCCCCCACCACCA
rnacentral:sRNA from 1 species